CCGCCGUGGUUUGCGGCGGUUGUGGCGGCGUGGCGCUGUUUCCGUUGUUGCCCGCAACAGCGGGCGCCGGUUCGGGUGCCGCCGCGGUGGC
rnacentral:tRNA from 1 species